rnacentral:rRNA from 14 species
UCAUCACGGCCCUUACGUCCUGGGCUACACACGUGCUACAAUGGCCGGUACAGAGGGCUGCAAUACCGCGAGGUGGAGCCAAUCCCUUAAAACCGGUCGUAGUCCGGAUUGGAGUCUGCAACUCGACUCCAUGAAGUCGGAAUCGCUAGUAAUCGCGAAUCAGAAUGUCGCGGUGAAUACGUUCCCGGGCCUUGUACACACCGCCCGUCACACCAUGGGAGUUGGUUCUACCCGACGACGCUGCGCUAACCCUUCGGGGAGGCAGGCGGCCACGGUAGGAUCAGCGACUGGGGUGAAGUCGGAACAAGGUAGCCGUAGGGGAACCUGCGGCUGGAUCACCUCCUU